CUCUCUUUCAAUUGCUCCUCAAAAGAUCAUAAAUUUCUUCUUCUUUGAGCCACCAGCCGUCAAAUCUAAAAAUAUUUGGGCAUGGGGAUCUAAGUUGUUAUCCAAAGCAACUGGAAUGUGAUUCGAGGUAGUGCUUAAGAGGGCAUUUUGAAAGCUAGCUAGAAAAAUAUUUUUCUAUUUAGGUGGAAGAAGGAAUCAAUCUAGGUGUGCCAA
rnacentral:lncRNA from 1 species